AAAGUCGUAACAAGGUUUCCGUAGGUGAACCUGCGGAAGGAUCAUUAUUGAUUUUACCCUUGGAUGUGCUGGCCCUCGUUGGGGGCAUUUGUGCACUCCAUGCAAAACUCAAUUAUCAUCCACCUGUGUGCACUCCCAGUAGGCACGUCUCGUGUCUAUGUACUUUUUACGCACGCUUUUUUUGAAUUACUGGAAUGCCACGAUAAACAUAUAGUUAUCACACACACACACACAACUUUCAACAAUGGAUCUCUUGGUUCUC
rnacentral:misc_RNA from 1 species